rnacentral:rRNA from 2 species
CACACGACUCUCGGCAACGGAUAUCUCGGCUCUCGCAUCGAUGAAGAACGUAGCGAAAUGCGAUACCUGGUGUGAAUUGCAGAAUCCCGCGAACCAUCGAGUCUUUGAACGCAAGUUACGCCCGAGGCCACUCGGCCGAGGGCACGCCUGCCUGGGCGUCACGC